rnacentral:rRNA from 1 species
UACGUAGGUGGCGAGCGUUGUCCGGAAUUACUGGGUGUAAAGGGCGUGUAGGCGGGAUUGCAAGUCAGAUGUGAAAUUCCGAGGCUUAACCUCGGCGCUGCAUCUGAAACUGUAAUUCUUGAGUGCUGGAGAGGAUAGUGGAAUUCCUAGUGUAGCGGUGAAAUGCGUAGAUAUUAGGAGGAACACCAGUGGCGAAGGCGGACUAUCUGGACAGUAAC